UGUAAUUCUACACCAAGGCUGAUUUUGGGGAAGAGACUUCAGAUACAGUAUUAGGGGACCACUAAGGUCUACAUAAAAGCAUCCGAAGAGCACCAUGUCAUGAGACCUUUAAG